GCCAGCAGCCAUAUCACCCUGCAACUCACAACUGGCAACCCACUGAAGCUAAGCAGGUGUGAGCCUGGUCAGCACCUGGAUGGAAGACCUCCUGGGAAAAUCUAAGGUUGCUGCUGGAA
ensembl:rRNA 5S_rRNA 5S ribosomal RNA